CAUAAUUUGGAUCAUACUGAAAUGCAAUUUAAAAAGUUUGUUAAAAGGAUGUAGAUUCAUGCACCUCCGGGAAGAGGAUGACCCGCGGUGAGUAGCCUCUGAUCUGCCGUGCGAAGUUAGCUAGCGGGGGUCGGGUCCCAAGGGGUAGAGAUGCAGUUCUCUAGAGUUACUGGGAAGAAGAAGAUAUGUACUGAUUUCGUCUCGACUCGGUGCAACGACUCCACGAUUGAUUCGAUCCAAUUUUCCGAGCCCAGACCAAAAUAUUUGUUGAACAACUUGCCUCAAGUAUAUUGGGACCCUUUGUGAUCUAUAUCAGAUCUGCAAUGGGCUGAAGAACGAGGCAGUCCUUGGAAGCAGCACGUACAUGUGAUGCCCCUCUCACUCUGGUUCUAAGG